rnacentral:rRNA from 1 species
UACAUGGGGUGCAAACGUUGCUCGGAAUCAUUGGGCGUAAAGCGCGCGUAGGCGGUUACUUAAGUCGAAUGUGAAAGCCCUCGGCUUAACCGAGGAAGUGCAUCCGAAACUGAGUAGCUAGAGUACGAAAGAGGGUCGCGGAAUUCCCGGUGUAGAGGUGAAAUUCGUAGAUAUCAGGAGGAACACCGGUGGCGAAGGCGGGUCUCUGGGCCGUAACUGACGCUGAGGAGCGAAAGCAUGGGGAGCGAACAGG